AACGAACGCUGGCGGCAGGCUUAACACAUGCAAGUCGAACGCCCCGCAAGGGGAGUGGCAGACGGGUGAGUAACGCGUGGGAACAUACCCUUUCCUGCGGAAUAGCUCUGGGAAACUGGAAUUAAUACCGCAUACGCCCUACGGGGGAAAGAUUUAUCGGGGAAGGAUUGGCCCGCGUUGGAUUAGCUAGUUGGUGGGGUAAAGGCCUACCAAGGCGACGAUCCAUAGCUGGUCUUAGAGGAUGAUCAGCACCAUUGGGACUGAGACACGGCCCAAACUCCUACGGGAGGCAGCAGUGGGGAAUAUUGGACAAUGGGGGCAAGCCUGAUCCAGCCAUGCCGCGUGAGUGAUGAAGGCCUUAGGGUUGUAAAGCUCUUUCACCGAUGAAGAUAAUGACGGUAGUCGGAGAAGAAGCCCCGGCUAACUUCGUGCCAGCCGCCGCAGUAACAC
rnacentral:rRNA from 1 species